GUGAAUCAUCAAAUUUUUGAACGCAAAUUGCACUCUCCUCGGAGAGUAUGCCUGUUUGAGGUUCAGCCUAUAAAAAAUCUACAUCGUUGCUGUUUCGCGGUGGCGUUCGUCGGAAAUUGGGUCAUCUUAAUUCCUUUGGUUUUAAGGGACUUAAAAUUUUCUUUUUGUUUCCAUGAACGUUUCUACGAUUUAUUUCUUUACACGUUUAAGUUAUCGAUUUUUCUUAGUCGUUAUCAUCAUAGCGUCACGCCG
rnacentral:misc_RNA from 1 species